AUUGAUUGGUGCUUGCAUCAUGAUUUACAUUUGAGUGAGUGGCGAACUGGUGAGUAACACGUGGGAAACCUGCCCAGAAGCGGGGGAUAACACCUGGAAACAGAUGCUAAUACCGCAUAACAACUUGGACCGCAUGGUCCGAGCUUGAAAGAUGGCUUCGGCUAUCACUUUUGGAUGGUCCCGCGGCGUAUUAGCUAGAUGGUGGGGUAACGGCUCACCAUGGCAAUGAUACGUAGCCGACCUGAGAGGGUAAUCGGCCACAUUGGGACUGAGACACGGCCCAAACUCCUACGGGAGGCAGCAGUAGGGAAUCUUCCACAAUGGACGAAAGUCUGAUGGAGCAACGCCGCGUGAGUGGAGAAGGGUUUCGGCUCGUAAAACUCUGUUG
rnacentral:rRNA from 2 species